CCAAACACCAGCUCUUCUUCAUGGUUCUUUCAGUCUUUCCUGUGACAUGGGUUAUUCACAAGAAGACAGCAGCAGAACACAAUAUGAUUUUAACUUCCAAUUUAUUCAGUCAGCCACUAAGUUUUUUGACCUUUAUUUUUAAAAACCUCCAACACUCUUGCUAAUUAGGACUCUCUUGUUCUUCCAGCUGUUAAUGGGCACAAAUGUCCAACUUGAAAUGUGUCUACUCAGAGCACUGCCUGAUUCUAUCUUCAUAUAGCAGUUAUUACUCUCGGGGACAAAUUAUGUCUUGCAUUGUGCACACUCAUCCAUUCACCAAAGACUUGACAGUCCAUCCAUCUAGGAAAAAACAUAUACUGCAGUUAGUUUCACAGAUAAAGCAGUCCAGAUGAAACUGCAUGGAUCUUCAUCCUAAUUCAAAGUUUAAAGGAAAAGUCCAGCUGGAGAGGAUAUGUCAGGAAAUGAGAGACUCAUGAGAGAGACUCAAUGGCACAGCUGUAAAUUCAAACCAGAAAACUCAACUCUCAGUCCUUGUAAUGCUGCCUGCGCUGCAAAUCAGCAUUUCCAAAAA
rnacentral:lncRNA from 1 species